rnacentral:rRNA from 1 species
UAGGGAAUCUUCCGCAAUGGACGCAAGUCUGACGGAGCAACGCCGCGUGAGUGAAGAAGGUUUUCGGAUCGUAAAACUCUGUUGUAAGAGAAGAACAAAUUUUAGAGUAACUGCUACAGUCUUGACGGUAUCUUACCAGAAAGCCACGCCUAACUACGUGCCAGCAGCCGCGGUAAUACGUAGGUGGCAAGCGUUGUCCGGCUUUAUUGGGCGUAAAGGGGGCGCAGGCUGCUUCUUCAGUCUGAUGUGAAAGCCCACGGCUUAACCGUGGAAGUGCAUUGGAAACUGGGAAGCUUGAGUACAGAAGAAGAAAGUGGAACUUCAUGGGUAGCGGUGGAAGGCAUAGAUAUAUGGGAGAACACCAGUGGCGAAAGCGACUUUCUGGGCUGUCACUGACGCUGAGGCCCGAAAGCGUGGGUAGCAAACAGG